CCCAUUCAAACGUUUUCUAUUUGUAAUAUUUAAUUAGGAUAUUGUUCUUCCUCUCAAUUUCUCGCACUGCCAUUUUCGCGGUUCACAAUUUCACAAUCUCCUCUGGCUUGACCACCGCACAACAGUCAUUGUCGUUUCCCUAUCACAACAUCUUCAACAACAUCGUCUCCAACUGCCAAUUUUCCACCUUCAUCGCCAGAUAUGCCUCUAGCAUCGUGGUAGCGACGACCUCCCUGUCUUGUUUAGUUGCUUCGUCUAAGGCGGCCUUUUGUUGCACAGAUAACUGACGGCUUGGGGGAUGAGCUCUUUAGGGUUCGAAGACCCUUUUGGUGGAUAACAAGCUCAAUUUAUGCAGAAGUUGAUGAUCAGGAAGUUUGAGUAGUUCACAGGCGAUGGCAUCUCUGGAGGAGAAUCUACGAUUUGUACCUGAGGGUUUACAGUAGGAUUUGGGCGUCAAACAACAGUGGUAGAAUAUAUAAAUAUUGGCAGUUAAAGCUUGGCUGGAAACCUCUUGGAAUUCUCAUAGGUUGGUUGUUUUCUUCGAAUAUUAUUGCUUUUGUCAAGCUAAGCAUGGAAAUGUCUACACAUCGAGAAUGGAUGUAUAAUAGGCUUCUUCCUGGUCGAGAGGCAUACACAAAUGAGUUUUUAAGUGGCCUUGAAGAGUUUAUGGCUUUUGCUUGUCGACAACCAAAUUUGAGUGAAGGAAAAAUACGAUGUCCAUGCAAGGAAUGUAAAAAUGAGAUAUUUUUUUAAUUCCAGAUAAAGUAAAUGUUCACAUUCUUCGAAAAGGAUUUAUACCUGGAUAUUGGUGUUGGACAUGCCAUGGAGAGAGAAUCCAACAUACUAAUGUUGAUAUGCAUUCCAUGUUAGGUAGUAGUCAACAAUGGGGUCCUCAAGAUGUUAAUAGACAUCAAGACAUGGUGUUUGAUGCUGCUAGUCUUAAUCGAGAGCAAUGUUUUAUACAAAAUGAAGAGGAACUUCCAAAUAUGGAAGCUGCCAAAUUUUAUGAAAUGUUAAAUUCAGCUCAACAACCAUUGUGGCCAGGAUGUAAGAAUACUUCAGAGUUGUC